CUUUAUUCUGUUGCUUUGCUUCUCAAAAUUCUCUCCAUCUCCCAACUGCUCCCAGUCUUAUCCAGUUCUUUCUACUCUCUUUCGGUAGGUAGCCCUGUUUGGCUUUUCAUCAUUAAGAUCAUUGAUUCUUUUUCUCAAUCAUGUUUCCCACUCACUUCCAGCUUCACCAUAUCUUACCUUAUCUUAGUCAUCUGUCAGGAGCUAUGAGUUUUCAUGUUGUCUCCUUGUGGCAUUUGUUUCUUCAGAUCUGUGUCCCUUUUCUUUGGUUAUCGUAAAUGCAUGAUACCAGCUUAUAGUCUUUUUCUUUGGUACUUUUUUGUUUGUUUCUAGGGAAUAGUUGAGAAGGAAACUAAACUAUAUUCUAGUUUAGUUGUCUCCAACUUGAUAUGAGUAGCUAGAGAUGCACCCCAACUCCAUAUCUAGAUUUAGAAGAAAGAGCAUAUCAUGAAUUCUGUAUUCAUUAUUAGAUAUUAUUUCAGCUGAUUUUUGGUUAUAAAAAAUAAGUUAGAAUCACCUUUCAAAGAUUAAGAUGAGCUGCUGUGUGUCUAUAUUUAAAAUGAUGUUUUAGCUUCUGAAGAUAACAAAACUUGGGAGUUCAUAACCCACUUGAAUCAAAGUGUGAAAUAUGAUAUGUCAAGAACUAUGUAAUGUUUUGAACAACCAACAAUAAAAA
rnacentral:lncRNA from 1 species